rnacentral:rRNA from 1 species
CCUACGGGGGGCAGCAGUGAGGAAUAUUGGUCAAUGGGCGCUAGCCUGAACCAGCCAAGUAGCGUGAAGGAUGACUGCCCUAUGGGUUGUAAACUUCUUUUAUAUGGGAAUAAAGUGCAGUAUGUAUACUGCUUUGCAUGUACCUUAUGAAUAAGGAUCGGCUAACUCCGUGCCAGCAGCCGCGGGAAUAUGGAGGAUCCGAGCGUUAUCCGGAUUUUAUGGGUUUAAAGGGAGCGGAGGGCGGUUGUUAAGUCAGUUGUGAAAGUUUGCGGCUCAACCGUAAAAUUGCAGUUGAUACUGGCAACCUAGAGUACAGUAGAGGUAGGCGGAAUUCGUGGUGUAGCGGUGAAAUGCGUAGAUAUAACGAAGAACUCCGAUUGCGAAGGCAGCCUGCUGGACUGUAACUGACGCUGAUGCUCGAAAGUGUGGGUAUCAAACAGGAUUAGAUACCCUGGUAGUC